CAGGUCCACAGGAGGAAACGAGUGACUGGAUUUGGCUGCCAGGCACCCCUGGGACCCGGCGGCCAUCUGGCAGGAGCAGAAGAGGUCUCCGGGAGGUGGGAGGGAGUGGGUCCCGCUGCAGGUGAGAGGCCGGCCCGGCCCUCCAGCCGGGGCGCGGUGGGUGGCGAGCUGCUGGAAUCGCUGGCCAGGGGCCAGGGGCCAGGGGCCGUGGCCACGGCGGUGUGCGCUGGGUGGCGACGGCGGCCCGGCCUCAGCGCGGGUCCCCGCGCGCGGCGCCGCAGGCCUGGCGGUCAGUCUGGCGGAGGCGGCCCGCGGCGGCCGGGCUGUGGGUGGUCUGUCCGGCGUGGAACGGGAGCCCAGCCCGCAGCUGGAGCGCGGGCCCGAGGCCAAGUGUGCUGCGCGGGAGGGGCCCGGCUGGCCGCAGGGGGCGGCGGCGCGCUCCCGAGCGGGGCCCGGCGGCGGCAGCGGGGACCUGGAGCGCUAUUCCUGGAACAAAGGCAAGCACUACGCGGGAGGGGACAGCAGCGCGGGGGAGAGCGCGGCCGCGCGAUCGCGGCGAGGGGGAGGGAGGGCGAGGCGCGGCGAGGCGCCGCCGCGGCCAUCUGCGCGGCGGCGACGGGCGCAGCGCACCCUCCCCCGAGCACCCGCCCCCAGGCCCGAGGGGCUCCCGGCCUAGAAGUCCUCGUCCUCCACCCAGCCAAACACCCGCUUCAUCUCGGCCAGGAAGCCCCGGUAAUCAUGGAGGAGGGGGCUCUCCUUCCUGAUGUAGGGGAUCACCCACUGCAGGGCCGGCCCCGUGAGGCGGGUGAUGAGGAACGUCACCUUCAGGGCAUCGCUGGAGAACAGGUCUCGUCCACUAACAUGUAGGCGCCCGUCUGCACGAUGAACUCCGGGAGGCGGUCGGUGUCGCCGUCAAAGGUCUCGGGGAAGGGAAUCGGGUUCCUCCACCGCCGCGUCUGGGGCCGCAGGGGCAGGGCCAGGAGGGCCUUGAUCAGCUGCACUCGGCCGUCCAUCGCGCCGCGCUCCCGCUCGCGCUGGUUGGGCUGGGCUGGGCUGGGCUGGGCUGGGCUGGGCUGGGCUGGGCUGGGCUGGGCUGGGCUGGGCUGGGCUGGGCUGGGCUGGGCUGGGCUGGGCUGGGCUGGGCUGGGCUGGGCUGGGCUGGGCUGGGCUGGGCUGUGCGGGCCCGGGUCCGGGGGCGGGGCCAGGGCGGGACUGGCGCCGGCUCCGCCCACGAGGCCGGGUGGUCGCUAGGGCGC
ensembl:lncRNA